GACUGUGGGGAGUAUUCUGGUGUGUGCCGCAAAUUUCUACGUCCAAGGUAAGUCUAUUUAUGACUAUUUUAAAAACUUUGACCACGAUUUUUCCCCCGAUAGAAUUAAAUUAUCUAUUUGCGGCACCGGAAAUACGAUAGAACAUGUUCUUAGCUUUAUUUUGAUACCAGAUUUAUAACAUUUACUUUGGUAUAUACACGGCGGAAAUCGCUAUUUUCAGUGCUGUUCUUUGGCGGGAAGCCGCGCCGCGGGGCGUGGGAGGGGGGCGUGGCGAACGCAGUGUUAUUCACUGGCUCCUCACACGUUUCUUGCAUAGAGAAUUAAGUUAAGUGCGUACGUACUAUGAGGCUAGAUGGGAUUUAGUUUUCAGAAUCCUGUCUGAUAUCUUUUGGUAAGCCAUUUAAUUAUAACUUUACAUUUCUUCUCAGUUAUGAUGCCAGAGAACCUGUUGUGACUAGUGCCUAGUAGUGGACUUCUCUUCUAUCUUCUUCUUCUCUGUACUUCUUCAAAUCAUACAAGUGACACAGAGGGAAGGAAUUGGACAGGCACCAUGGCCACAAAUGGAGAUAUCCUACAGUUCUGUGGACAACACAAACGACUCAAGGUGAGAGAGAAGAUGGAACUGCUCAAGGAAACAUUCACAUCCAUUGACAGCAGGGUGGAAACUAAAGUACUCUGGAGCAGUAUUUCACGCCUAGCAGGGAAAAGGAAGAAAUUGUCGAAGGAUAAAAAGGAACUGAAAUCUUUGUUAAAUCAGACUUUCAACUCCCCAAAGCAAAACCAAACUCCACAGUCUCGAGCUCCAUGGACACCGAGAAAGAAGAAACUUGCAAAGCAUCUGGAAGAAGCAAGAAAGGCCAACAAACAUUUGAAGAAGAAACUGGGUAGUGCAGAAGAAUGGAAGAACAAUAUGCAGUGUGUGCAAACAGAGCUGGAGACUUUGAUCAGUGAAUAUACAGCUGCUGUGCAAGAAUGCGACAAGAUCACUGAGGACACAGAAGAAAAAAUGAAACUGAUGAACAACAACAAUGGCGAGCUGGAAAAGUACAUCAAGGAAAUAGAGAAUGCUUUUGACUCUCAAUCAAAAAAGUUACAAGACGCAACAGAAAAACUGAGCAAGUGGAAUGUAAGGAACUUCAACAAAAGGGAGAAGUCAAAAAAAAA